UGUAACCACUUUUCUACACUUCGCCUACUCACUUUUAGCAAAAUUGCCAAUCUUUCAGUGGAAUCGCCAGUUCUGAGUUUCAUAAGAUAAGCAGCCAAAGCUAAUGUUGCAUUUGGAAUUUCUAACAACUGAGGAACUUCAGUCCACAUCUGAUGGAACUGAGCUUUAUUCAAUCCAGUCCAUUAAAAGACUGUACAUAAUUGGACCUUAAACUGUCAAGAAAAUCCCAUGCUUCGAUAAUCAAAUGUUGACCACAAAGACGGUUAUUUUCAGUUUCAGAAGCUCUCAUGUAUUCUGGCAAUACAAUAGUAGGUUCUGGUUGGUUGCCUCUAACUUCAUCAUUGGGGGACACAGUAGCAGGAUUGUCUUCUUGAGACCUGUCUUGUUGAGAUGAACAAGACGGGCCUGAGACCAUGUGAACAGCAGCUCUGUCUGCAGCCACCCAACAACCAUGACACACACGACUUCCUGCUUCUAUCUGUAACAAACAUACUUAAUUAAAAUUGGAGUUUAUUAAGAUAA